rnacentral:lncRNA from 1 species
UCCCCCUCCUGCCGGAGGCGUGUCCCCGAAACCCCGAGGCUUGAGCGCUUCGCCCCGUGGUCCGGGUUCCGGGCCUCGCGGAGGCCGAGCCUGCCCAGCGCCGAGCGGGGGCGCCGCGACCUCGGUCCCGCCCGGGCCACCUGCGGGGCUCCGCGCCUCCGGGGCUGUCCCGGCGGGGGUCGGUCGGGGCGCCCUGCCAGCUCCGCCUCCUCCGGGGCGCCCUCUCCGCUUUCGCUUUCUGUUCCCGGGUCGGGGAGGCGGGCGCGGCGGCGCGAGGGCCAGCGGGGCAGCGGCGGGCCCCCAGGUACGGCGGGUGCGACCCCGGGGCCCCCGCCGGCCCCCCGACCCCCGGCCGCGCUGCGGGGCUCGAGAGGGGCUCGAGAGGGGCUCGGCGCCGGCCACCUGCUGGUGCCCGCGGGGGCGGCCGGGGAGCCGGGGCGCGCGGCGGAGGCGAGCGAGGCGCGGAGGGCUGGGCUGGGCGGGCCUGGGGGCGCUGGAGGGGCCGUGGGACCUGGGCCCGAGUCCGCAGGGACGCGGGGGGGGGGCGGCCGGGGGGCGGGGGCGCGGGGGCGCAGGGUCAGCGCGCCUCUUCCCGGCAGGCGGGAGCGGCCCCCUCCGAGCGCCUCGCCGCUGGUUUCCCCCCCACCACGGCUUCCUCUCCCGCCCUCCGGCUACCCCCCUGGUCCCCCAAGCCCCACCCUCGGCCCCUCCGGCUCCUCCCCAGGCCCCCCCACCUCCCCAGCCCCCCCCGGCUCCUCCCCCAACCCCCCCUUAGGCCCCCCCUUGGCUCCCCCGGCUCCUCCCCAGGCCCCUCCACCUCCCCAGCACCCCCCCCGGCUCCUCCCCCGACCCCUCCUCAGGCCCCCCCCUCGGCUCCCCCGGCUCCUCCCCAGGCCCCCCCCACCUCCCCAGGCCCGCCCUCCGCUCCACCCUAGGCCCCCCGGCUCCUCCCCCGACUCCUCCGCAGGCACCCCCCUCGGCUUCCCUGGCUCCUCCCCAGGCCCCCCCCACCUCCCCAGGCCCCCCCCACCUCCCCAGGCCCCCCUCACCUCCCCAGCCCCCCCCCGGCUCCUCCCCCGACCCCUCCUCAGGCCCUCCCCUCGGCUUCCCUGGCUCCUCCCCAGGCCCCCCCCACCUCUCCAGCCCCCUCCCGGCUCCUCCCCCGACCCCUCCGCAGGCACCCCCAUCUCCCCAGCCCCUCCCGCUCCACCCCAGCCCCCCCCCGGCUCCUCCCCCGACCCCUCCCCAGGCCCCCCUCCGCUCCACCCCAGCCCCCCCCCAGGCUCCUCCCCCGGCCGCCCCACCGCUCCCUCCUCGGCCCCCCCCGUCCCUCCCCAGCCGCCCCCCCCCCGCUCCCCCCUCGGCCCCCUCCUCCCUCUGGCCCCACCCCCGGCCUCCGCGCAGCGCCAGAUGUGGGCUGGGGGGGUGCCGCGGGUGGGGGUGGGGGUGCCUUGGGCGGGAUGGUUGCGGGAGAAAGCAGGUGCCGGGCUGAGCUGGACGGUGCUGAGGGACGGGAGGCAGAAGGCGCCCCGACGGGCCUCUCCUUGCCUCUGCGUCCUGGUUCCCAGCGCCUCCCCCGUCCGCUCCGCUCCCCUUGGGGUCUUACCCCAAGCAGGUUCCCCGGUUGAGCAACUUCCAGUCCCUGCGGGGCCGGCGCCUUGCCCGCCGGGGUGGGGGUGGGGGUGGGGGGUGGCCCUGCAGGGUGACUUCUCGGAGGGAGAGGCCUGGACGCUUCCUUAG